UUUUUUUGUUUCAUACGAGUGCCUACGACCUUGCAUAUCGAAAUUUUGGCAUAAACAACGUGCGUGACAUUGCCUCAGAUUUUCUUUAAUAGUAUUUAUAGUCAUUGCAUUCUUAUUUGUUUCCUUUGAGGUACGAAACAAACCGAAUGGAUACCAAAUGCAAUUAUGUUUUUUCAAACGAUCGAUCAUAAGUGAUUACAUUUUUUUUGUUCAUUCAACAACACAACAACAAAAAAUGUAUCUUCAUGAUAUGUACGUGUAUGAAAUGUACAAGAGUUGUAAAGAAGUACAAAUCUGUCUGUCUCUCUUUCUCUCUCUCUCUCUCACUCUUGGUGGCAUGUGAAAUAGACAAUCUAUAAAUGGAAAACGAAGGAUAAACUUGUACUCAUAUAUGUAUAUGUGCAUGUACAGAUACGUAAAUAAUAGGUAUAUAGCAUCGGACUGAGACGAUAAUCGCAAGAGUCGCGUUCGUUCGUAAUACAAUGCUGUUCGUUCGUUUCGUAUCGCUAAAAAGGCUGUUACCAAGAUAAAAGUGAAAAACUAAACUUGUAUCGAAUGAGAAGAUUUAAAUUGAAGACGAAGUGAAAAUAAUUUUCUUCCGACGAACACGGACAGCUUCCAAACGUAUGAUAAUAUGAGAAAUCUCGAAUGCAACUUUCACCGGAUUACUGGCACGCAAAGUCGAACGACAUCGUUCAACGUGUAACACCUUUAAAAUACUUAAACAUAAGCCAAGAACAACAAAUCGUCCAAGUUAGAUCCAACAAAUACUAAGUUACAGCUAAUGUUAGAUUGGUCGAGAAGAGAAUGUACUCAGCCAUUGGCUACUUUGGCAAAGUGUUUCACGAUCGUCAACCUAAAACUGUGAACCAUACGACGACGAUAUUUACACACCUACUAUACAUGGUACGCGGCGCACAUGUACAUGCAUGUGAGAUGCAUUGGGAUGCAUCAUUGAACGUUGUAACAUGUACACAAGCACGUACAUAUGCGAUAUAACUGUCACCGAAUGAAAUUACGUAUGUUUUUUUCUUUUUCUUUUUCUUUUCUUUUCUUUUCUUCAAGAGAAACAGUUCAACUUCUUUCAAAAAUACUUACUUAACAUACAUAAUAUGUAUUUAUGCAUAAUCAAAAAAAAAAAAAAAAAAACUAAUUAA